AGAGUUUGAUCAUGGCUCAGGACGAACGCUGGCGGCGUGCUUAACACAUGCAAGUCGAACGGUGAACCUCCCUUCGGGGAGGGGAUCAGUGGCGAACGGGUGAGUAACACGUGAGCAACCUGCCCCUAGCUCUGGGAUAACCCCGGGAAACCGGAGCUAAUACCGGAUACGAGACCGAGCGGCAUCACACGGUCUGGAAAGUUUUUCGGCUAGGGAUGGGCUCGCGGCCUAUCAGCUUGUUGGUGGGGUAACGGCCUACCAAGGCGACGACGGGUAGCCGGCCUGAGAGGGCGACCGGCCACACUGGGACUGAGACACGGCCCAGACUCCUACGGGAGGCAGCAGUGGGGAAUAUUGCGCAAUGGGCGAAAGCCUGACGCAGCGACGCCGCGUGAGGGAUGAAGGCCUUCGGGUUGUAAAGCUCUGUCAGGUGGGAAGAAGUGAGCAGGGGCGAAUAGUCUUUGUUCUUGACGGUACCACCAGAGGAAGCACCGGCUAACUCCGUGCCAGCCGCCGCGGUAAUUC
rnacentral:rRNA from 1 species